CCUACGGGAGGCAGCAGUGGGGAAUUUUGGACAAUGGGCGAAAGCCUGAUCCAGCAAUGCCGCGUGCAGGAAGAAGGCCUUCGGGUUGUAAACUGCUUUUGUACGGAACGAAACGGUCUGCUUUAAUACAGUGGGCUAAUGACGGUACCGUAAGAAUAAGCACCGGCUAACUACGUGCCAGCAGCCGCGGUAAUACGUAGGGUGCGAGCGUUAAUCGGAAUUACUGGGCGUAAAGCGUGCGCAGGCGGUUAUAUAAGACAGUUGUGAAAUCCCCGGGCUCAACCUGGGAAUUGCAUCUGUGACUGUAUAGCUAGAGUACGGUAGAGGGGGAUGGAAUUCCGCGUGUAGCAGUGAAAUGCGUAGAUAUGCGGAGGAACACCGAUGGCGAAGGCAAUCCCCUGGACCUGUACUGACGCUCAUGCACGAAAGCGUGGGGAGCAAACAGGAUUAGAUACCCUGGUAGUCCACGCCCUAAACGAUGUCAACUGGUUGUUGGGUGCAUUAGUACUCAGUAACGAAGCUAACGCGUGAAGUUGACCGCCUGGGGAGUCGGCCGCAAGGUUGAACUCAAGGAUUGACGGNNGNGAGNGCGACGACGACGACGAGGGAGGAGG
rnacentral:rRNA from 1 species